GGGCAAAGAGCAUCUGUUCCCUCCAUUCUCCUAGCUCCAUCGGCUGCCAACCUAAGGCCAUCGCCUGCCUCCAUCACCCCUUCGCCUGCCUGCCUACCACCCAAUCCCAAAUGGGUGCUGGAUCAGGUCCUCCUUCUCAUCACUUCUUAGGCAUGGAGAGAUGAAGGACAGAUGGAGUACCGCACAAGGAUACAAUGGAGGAAGCAGGCCAUGACUAAGACCCCAAGGAUGAAGAAUGGAGAGCCCUGACCGUCCUCCUGGCCUCCAGUCAUUUCCCCACUGAAGAUGGCCGUACCCUCUAGCCUGGGAGGACCAUGGCCCAACAAUGGCAGUGGGAGAGAAGAUGACUCUGUGGAGGACACUCUCCGUUAUCUGUGAUGACAUACACCAGCCCCCGAACAAUUUAACCUCAAGCUGCCCUCUGCAAGACUUCGGUAGCACUGGACUUCCCUCAUUCCUGGUAGGCAGAGGUUGUUAGCCAUCAGUCUGGAAGAUCUGAAGGAAAAUUUGGCUUUGGGUAAAGUCAAAGGGGAUGGCUCUCAGAGAUAAGGCCAGUUCAUGAGAAGCAAGCAGGGCUUUGCUACCUGCGCAGGGCAGAGCUGCCCUGGGCUGGGGGAGUUCUGAUGUCAACAUCUCUGGAGGCGGAUGACAACUUCAGAAGAAGCAAAAUUUCCCCAGGAGAAAAGAAAACAGGAGGUCUUCAGUCAACAUGGAGUUUGAAGCCGCCCAUGGCUGAAGCUCAGAAUACUCUGGAGAGCUGAGAGUCCUUCUUCAGCGGCUGGGCCGUUCUGCAGCAGCUGCAGCCGCCUCUGGGCCUGGGCGUCCCGGUGGGCAGGCGUGCGUAGGUGUUGCAGCAAGGCUAGGCGGGAGGGCGUGUCCCAGGCGCACAACAGGCAGUGGUAAAGCCCCGGCUCCGGCCCUGCCUCUGCUCCCUCCAUUUCCAGCAGAAACUAGAAGCAUGGAAGAGGCCAGCUCAGAUGUAGAAGGCACACCUCCAGACCUCUGGGGACUGUUCCUCCUCGCUUAGACUCUUUCACGCCUGGGUGGCCUCCCUCCACCCUGCUAUGGCUUCCCAUCCGCUUCUCCUCUCCAUUUCCUUCUUUCUCCCUUCAGUCCUGGAUCCCCCAGUGUGUGGCUGGGAGUUGCUUCUGUCCUGGAUACCAUGAUGGCUGGACUGAGAUGGCCUCAUCCCUAUAGCAUGCUAGAACAGCUAAAUCAAGUCUGUUUCUCCUCCUCGGAGCCCACUGC
ensembl:antisense Gm20687 predicted gene 20687